AUGUUCUCUGUAGCUCUGAUGCUGCUGCUGGCAGCUGGAUCCUGUGUGUACAGUAUUGAUCUCAUCCAGCCAGAAUCAGAGCUUGUUCGGCCUGGACAGUCUUUGAGCAUCACCUGUCGGGUCUCGGGUUAUUCUCUGACUGAUAACAGCUAUGCAACAGGUUGGAUCAGACAGCGUGAAGGAAAACCAAUGGACUGGAUCUUUUAUAAGUGGGGUGGAGUUGGAGAUGGAGGAAAUUUUUAUCAAAAUAAUGCUCUGAAAAACAAGUUCAGCUACAGCAGAGACUCUUCUGCUGGAACAGCGACAAUAACAGGACAGAAUCUGCAGCCUGAAGACACAGCUGUGUAUUACUGUGUCCGUUGCCGCACAGUGUCACAAACCACCACUAGACCUGCACAAAAACUCUGCUUCCAGCAAGACCCAACCACAUGUAGUGUGAACGGUCUCUUUAGUCUUUAA